UACGAAGGGGGCUAGCGUUGUUCGGAAUUACUGGGCGUAAAGCGCGCGCAGGCGGUUCUUCAAGUCGGUGGUGAAAGCCCGGAGCUCAACUCCGGAAUUGCCAUUGAAACUGUAGAACUUGAGGAUGAGAGAGGUGAGUGGAAUUCCCAGUGUAGAGGUGAAAUUCGUAGAUAUUGGGAAGAACACCGGUGGCGAAGGCGGCUCACUGGCUCAUUUCUGACGCUCAGGCGCGACAGCGUGGGGAUCGAAACAGG
rnacentral:rRNA from 1 species